UACGAAGGUGGCAAGCGUUACUCGGAAUUACUAGGCGUAAAGGGCAGGUAGGUGGUUUGGUUAGUCUGUUGUGAAAGCUCCUUGCUUAACGGGGAGAGGUCAACAGAUACUGCCAGACUUGAGUAUGGGAGAGGGAUGCGGAAUUCCAGGUGUAGCGGUGAAAUGCGUAGAUAUCUGGAGGAACACCGGUGGCGAAGGCGGCAUCCUGGACCGAUACUGACGCUGAGGAGCGAAAGCCAGGGGAGCAAACGGG
rnacentral:rRNA from 1 species